rnacentral:rRNA from 1 species
CCGUAGCGGGUCUGAGAGGAUGAUCCGCCACACUGGACUGAGACACGGCCCAGACUCCUACGGGAGGCAGCAGUGGGGAAUUUUGGACAAUGGGCGGAAGCCUGAUCCAGCCAUGCCGCGUGAGUGAAGAAGGCCUUCGGGUUGUAAAGCUCUUUCGGUGGGGAAGAAUUGCACGGGUAAAUACCCUGUGUAGAUGACGGUACCCGACUAAGAAGCACCGGCUAACUACGUGCCAGCAGCCGCGGUAAUACGUAGGGUGCGAGCGUUAAUCGGAAUUACUGGGCGUAAAGCGUGCGCAGGCGGUUUGGUAAGUCAGAUGUGAAAUCCCCGGGCUCAACCUGGGAACUGCAUUUGAGACUGCCAAGCUGGAGUUUGGCAGAGGGGGGUGGAAUUCCACGUGUAGCAGUGAAAUGCGUAGAGAUGUGGAGGAACACCGAUGGCGAAGGCAGCCCCCCUGGGCCAAUACUGACGCUCAUGCACGAAAGCGUGGGGAGC